AAUGAACGUUGGCGGCGUGGAUUAGGCAUGCAAGUCGAGCGAGAACCGGUUUCGGCCGGGGACAGCGGCGAACGGCGUAGUAAUGCAUCGGAACGUACCCUCUGGUCGGGGAUAGCUACGGGAAACUGUAGGUAAUACCCGAUGAUCUCUGCGGAGCAAAGGUGAGAUUCCGCCGGAGGAGCGGCUGAUGUGAUAUUAGCUAGUUGGUGGGGUAAUGGCCUACCAAGGCGAUGAUGUCUAGGGGGUGUGAGAGCAUGGCCCCCACGACCGGAACUGAGAUACUGUCCGGACACCUACGGGUGGCUGCAGUCGGGAAUCUUCCGCAAUGGACGAAAGUCUGACGGAGCGACGCCGCGUGCGGGAUGAAGGCCCUUGGGUUGUAAACCGCUGUCAGAGGGGAUGAAAUCUUCGGAGGUACUCCUCCGAAGUUGACAGAGCCUCAAAGGAAGCACGGGCUAAGUACGUGCCAGCAGCCGCCGUAACAC
rnacentral:rRNA from 1 species